rnacentral:rRNA from 1 species
AGCAGCCGCGGUAAUUCCAGCUCCAAUAGCGUAUAUUAAAGUUGUUGCAGUUAAAAAGCUCGUAGUUGAAUUUCGGGAUCAAUACGUCGGUCGUGCUUUCGGGUACGUACUGGCGUCAUUGGUUUCUCCUUUCUGACGAACCAUGAUGUCAUUAAUUUGGUGUUAUGGGGAGUUAGGACUGUUACUUUGAAAAAAUUAGAGUGUUUAAAGCAGGCAUUAGCUUGAAUACAUUAGCAUGGAAUAAUGAAAUAGGACGUUCGAUCCUAUUUUGUUGGUUUCUAGGAUCAACGUAAUGAUUAAUAGGGAUAGUUGGGGGCAUUAGUAUUCAAUUGUCAGAGGUGAAAUUCUUGGAUUUAUUGAAGACUAACUACUGCGAAAGCAUUUGCCGAGGAUGUUUUCAUUAAUCAAGAACGAGAGUUAGGGGAUCGAAGACGAUCAGAUACCGUCGUA